UCCUACGGGAGGCAGCAGUGGGGAAUAUUGCACAAUGGGCGAAAGCCUGAUGCAGCAACGCCGCGUGAGUGAUGAAGGCCUUCGGGUCGUAAAACUCUGUCCUCAAGGAAGAUAAUGACGGUACUUGAGGAGGAAGCCCCGGCUAACUACGUGCCAGCAGCCGCGGUAAUACGUAGGGGGCUAGCGUUAUCCGGAUUUACUGGGCGUAAAGGGUGCGUAGGCGGUCUUUAAAGUCAGGAGUGAAAGGCUACGGCUCAACCGUAGUAAGCUCUUGAUACUGGGAGACUUGAGUGCAGGAGAGGAGAGUGGAAUGCUUAUUGGAGCGGGGAGAGGCGUAGAUAUUAGGAGGAACACCAGUUGUGAAGGGGGCUCGCGGGAGUGUAACUGACGCUGAGGCACGAAAGCGUGGGGAGCAAACAGGAUUAGAUACCGUGGUAGUCCACGCUGUAAACGAUGAGUACUAGGUGUCGGGGGUUACCCCCCUCGGUGGCGCAGCUAACGCAUUAAGUACUCCGCCUGGGAAGUACGCUCGCAAGAGUGAAAC
rnacentral:rRNA from 1 species